UUAUAUAUAUUAGGUUUCUGCCAACCGUAAGAUUCAUUGGAAAAUAUACAAGGGUUUUAAGAAAUUGUACACUAACCAUCUGUUUUGUAAUAGAGUAAUCCAGAGGCUAGAGCAAGAAGUGUAGAGAAUAGUUACAGAGAGUAGGACUUUGUUGUCACAGAGGAACUGGUGACAUGUGUCUGACUAAAGCCUGGUUCCUGCUCUUUCCCACUUUGCCUCACAUUUUGAAUGAGAAUGUCUAUUGGUUAUCCUGAGUGAGUCUCAGUACCCUGUGUCUGUAUGUUGAGUGUGUGGGAGCAGAUAAUUUGUCUCUCUAAUUCAGAUCAAGAGGAAUAGACUCCAGUAGCUGUGCCUGAGGAACUGCAUCUGAGGAGCUCCAGCCACACCUGGACCUGAUUUAGAUAUCGAGACACUGAACAUCAAGCUGAUGCCAUAAUGAGAUGAGAAUUUUGAAGGUCUUAGGAAAGGAGGUUCAAGAGGAGAUACAAGAGAUCUGACAGGAGAAAAAUAACUAAAUAAAUGAAACCCCAGAGGGCAGGAGAGACAGUAAUGGCAGGUUAGGGAGCCAGCAGGAGCCCACUGGGAACAUUACGGUUGGCACUGUGUCAGCAUGACAGAAACAGAUGGUGGUGGCUCUGAGAGCAGUUGCAGUGCUGAAAGAAUAUUCAGACACAUCCAGGAAGGUAAGUUAGAAAAUGAAGCACACCGUGUUGACUGAAUUCUGGCAAUUCUUAAGGCCCAGGAGAGGACACUCUCAAAUAUCUAGACUGUUAACAUUAGAGCAAGAGAAACAGUACAGGCCAUUUUGUCCUUGAACUUGCAGAACUCCGCCUGCCUCAGCCUCCCAAGUGCUGGGAUUAAAGGUGUGCACCACCACACCUGCCUUAAAGAACUUUAUAAGAACAUGAAACUAAGGGCAGGUAAAUCUCCCCCAAAGAGAUGCCCCAUAUCAUUGCUUUUUAUAAUUCUGCUGCUGUCACCUCUUUGGACACUUUACAGUGUGGCACCUGUAAGGCCUCAUGUUAGGAUAAUGAAGUGCUUUUCCUGGAGAAAUGGUUGAGAAACAUUUUGGGAGCUGGAGAGAUGGCUCCACCGUUGAAGGCUAGGCUUACAACCAAAAAUAGGAGGAACAUUUUGGUCUCAUGGACAGUUUUCCUAGAAAGUAAGCUAUAGCAGUUUGGUUUAAUCUUUGUAAACAUUAUAUUAGCCGCCAUAUACAGCAGGGCACAUGGUUCUUGAGGGUCUGAAAUAAAACCACUGGCCAGUUAAGUCAUAGGCUUUAUGCAUUUGAACUUGUCCCAGUAGUUUAAGAACUUUAAUUAUUUUCAUAACAUUUUGUAAUAGAUAGUAGUAGAAAUAGGUCAAAUGUCAACUUUUAAAGAAAGGAAAUGGUAUCUACAUUCAGGAUUUUAGACACACCAAGAUGGGAAAGAUGUCUUCAAGGCUGCCAAGUACAAACAGCCAUAACACUUUGAAUGUA